CAUGAAGAAGAGGGUAACAGGCAACAGCUGCAGAGAGAGAGACAGGAGCUCAGCGUGGAGCAGGCGUGGGAGAGGAAAUGUAUUUAAACUAAACUGCUGAAUCUUCUGAGAGCUGUUUCUUCUUCUCUAGAAACUGCCACCACUGCUGAGCAAAUUCAUCAGCUGAGUGACUAAUGGGAGAAACCCUGAGAGGCGGAGGUACAACUGAGCCAAAACUGCUUCCCAUAAAGCCCUAUUCAGUGCCUGUUUGUCUCAUUUAUUGCUGCAUAAAAUAUCCUUCAUGGAAAAGUGACUGACAAUUAUGCUUUCUCCAUACAUCUUUGCGCUCUCUGUUGUCUUGACAAAAAUAGGUAGGCUCUGUCUUCACUUCCCUUUCUUCAAAGGCACCUCCUUUCUUUUUUCAAUUACUUAGUGAAAGAAAAUGUCAUUCUCCUGAUUUUUUCAUAUUACUCUUUCUAAAGAGAGCCACUUCUUAUUUUUCCAUGCACCAUAGGAAGUGAUGUCAACCUCAACUGGAGCAUAAAUCCACAGUCAUAAGUUUCCUUUUCCCAGGAAAAGGGAAGAAGCAGGAACAGAUGAGAAGCUGAAGUGUAUUCUGUUGCCAUAGAAAUCUGAUUUUCUUUUGCUUUUUGAUGAGAACAGAAGCUAAGGUGAUGUACUAGUCAGGUCACUGCACUGACUUUUAGAAGAAAUCUGGCUCUGGUCCUGAACAACAGUAAGUUACUUCAUCUCCUUGAAGUCUCCUUUGCUGUUCAGCUGGGAUUGUAAACUGCCCCCAAUGUGGAUGCAUUCAUUGACUAUGUCUGUAUCAUUAUCAGGAAAAAGGUUUUGAUUGUACUUAUUGUCUGUAGACACUACACAAAAAAUAAGACACACCAUCAAAAGACACUCAAGCAAGGCAGAGCUUUCCCUCUGCAGCAGCCCUUGGUUUCUUUAGAAAAGGCACAUCUUUUGAACUUCAAAUUAAUAUUAUGCUUUCAGCAGGCUGUGACAUGACCCACAAAACCCUUUCCCACAUUUACUUUUUUGCCUUUGGCCAUGUCUGCAUUUCACCAGAAACCUAAGGUGACACAGAAAGUAAGAUAGGUAUCAAACUUAAUAGCUUGUGACUGCAAGCUUCAAAAUUAUAAGUUAUAAUUAUAAUUUAUAGUAAGCUAAUUCCUCAUUACAGAUACCUACAAGCCAUUCUGGGUGGUGUGGGGGUUUUUUAGGUGUUUAGGAAUUGUUGAG